CCUACGGGAGGCAGCAGUGAGGAAUAUUGGUCAAUGGCCGUAAGGCUGAACCAGCCAAGCCGCGUGAAGGAAGAAGGAUCUAUGGUUUGUAAACUUCUUUUAUAGGGGAAUAAAGGUAUCCACAUGUGGAUCUUUGCAUGUACCCUAUGAAUAAGCAUCGGCUAACUCCGUGCCAGCAGCCGCGGUAAUACGGAGGAUGCGAGCGUUAUCCGGAUUUAUUGGGUUUAAAGGGUGCGUAGGUUGUUUUUUAAGUCAGCGGUGAAAGUUUGUGGCUCAACCAUAAAAUUGCCGUUGAAACUGGAAGACUUGAGUGUGUUUGAGGUAGGCGGAAUGCGUGGUGUAGCGGUGAAAUGCAUAGAUAUCACGCAGAACUCCGAUUGCGAAGGCAGCUUACUAAGCCAUAACUGACACUGAAGCACGAAAGCGAGGGGAUCAAACAGGAUUAGAUACCCCGGUAGUC
rnacentral:rRNA from 1 species